UCCAGACUCCUACGGGAGGCAGCAGUGGGGGAUAUUGCACAAUGGGGGGAACCCUGAUGCAGCGACGCCGCGUGGGUGAAGGAGUAUUUCGGUAUGUAAAGCCCUAUCGGCAGGGAAGAAGCAAGACGGUACCUGACUAAGAAGCCCCGGCUAACUACGUGCCAGCAGCCGCGGUAAUACGUAGGGGGCGAGCGUUAUCCGGAUUCACUGGGUGUAAAGGGAGCGUAGACGGCCAAGCAAGCCAGGGGUGAAAGCCCGGGGCCCAACCCCGGGACUGCUCUUGGAACUGCGCGGCUGGAGUGCAGGAGGGGCAGGCGGAAUUCCUGGUGUAGCGGUGAAAUGCGUAGAUAUCAGGAGGAACACCGGUGGCGAAGGCGACUUUCUGGACUGUACCUGACGCUGAGGCGCGAAAGCGUGGGUAGCGAACGGGAUUAGAUACCCGGGUA
rnacentral:rRNA from 1 species